AAGAGGUUGCGGGGCGACGGUGGAAGGUUUAAUGGGACCGAAUUCUGGAACAUUCGGGACUGCGGCAUCUUACGGCUGGACAGAGAUUUGGGUCUGCGCAGGCAACAGUGGGUAGUCCGAUGGGCUUCAGGACUUGAUGGCGUAACCCCCUUCUUCCCCCACGUACGUAUUUGCUGGGAUUAGGGGCGAUGUCUCUGCGUAUGUGGGUGCUCUGUCUUUCUCACCUUCUUUCUCGCUUUUUUGCUAUUUUUUUCUCCGAAGGAGGAUUUUUUUCCACUUUAAUUUCUUUUCUCUUAGUGUCAGCUGCUCAAGCCUGACCAGGGUAGAGGAGAGAGGAAUGAACUGUCCCGGGCUUCCCACCUGACCUCCCAGCCUUUACCCCAUUUCCCUCCGUGGACAAAAAGACAGACAGACAGGUUUUCCAGGUUGUUUGGAUGACAAAGUCUAUCUAUCCACGCAGUUCUUAUGGUAAAGGUAGGGAGUAAGGAGGAGAAGUGCCGAGAGGAAGGCAAAAGGGACAGUUUUCCAGGGUUGCUUUAUGUAAAGGUUGACCCUCAGACCCAGGCUCUGGUGGGGAGCCAGAAGAUAGGAUGGGGUGUGGGCUGCGAGAAGUGGGGUGAAGGCGGUGGGUUUGUCACUGCGUAGUUGGGGAAAGUGGUAACUGGUGACGCAGUCACUGUUGCAUCUUGUUAGGAGCUCUGGAAGGACAGGUAGUGAGACUCCCGGCGCUUGAGGGGCCAGCUGAGAGGGGUUAAGGAUGAGUUGAGAAGGGAAGCUAGCAUUUGGAGAUUAAAUGUCAUCCUUUUGGCGUUGGAAAGUUGUUUACCUUGCGCUCUCUGUGUCUCCAUGUUGGCACCCUUCCAGUUCACAUGUGAUGGCCUUCCCUGUACUGCUGCAUCAUUAACUAAGUGACUGAGCUGGCCUUCUAUUGGCCAGGGGAGGGCUCUCACUCCAGACACUUCCUCCGAUUGGUGGGUGGGCCAGUGGCAGGUGAAAACCUUUUUUUGAUUGGCUAAGGGCAGGGUAUCAAAUCUGAAUUUGCAUUUCACUUGGUUAAAGGGGAGGGGGGAGAAGCCCAGCAGCUUUCUAAAAUCUCUUUAGGGGUGUGCGUAUGCUUGUGUCUGUGCCUGCUUUUGACUGACCAGUAGAAGCCUCUUCCCAUGCCUUUUCCUAUUUCAGGCACUGUAAGGAAGAAGAGCCAACGGCUCUGCAAACUUUUUUGGGGGUAAGGAGGGGGUGGUUUGGGGUUGAUGGGUAUGCAGGGGCCUGACCAAAUUGGAAGAAAAUAUUUUUAUCCUUUAGUUUGGUGUCAGAAAAGGGAAUUUUCCAAUCAGCCACACCUCAGUGUUGCGGCAAAAUAAUUCUUGGCUCCCCUGGAAACGCACAGGCAAGGUAGGGGAGAGCUGCUGCCGCUGCUAUUGCACCCUGGGCUUCCUGCUGACUCUGGGCUACUCCCCCGGGACCACAGAUUUGCAUUGACGUCUGGGCUGUCCAGAGGCCCCCAGGAGCCAGUCGUGAGCUGAGCCCAGUAUGGGAAGGACCUGCCUUCUGGAAGCUGCUGCUACCUGGUGCUUGGAAAGGGAACUUGGGAGAGUUUAGCUCCACGAGUAGGUGGCAGCCUCUUUGAGACUCAGACCCAGCUGAGGAUGGGGCCGUAUGCCGAAGACAGUCGUCAUCCUGGCGGAGAGAAUAGGCCGUUUGCGUUUAUUUGGAACCAAAAAAAAGAAGAAGAAGAAGGUGCCUGGCAGCCCUGGUGCUUUGCGAUGCUGAUGGAAAGGUCAUGCUGGUCAAGGGCUCUCACGUGGGAUGAGGGCCAGGAGGGGCUGGUAGUUCUCCGAUGGAUAUUGGGCUUGGAGGAGGAGAGGUGCAGUUGAGCCACCAAUUUGCGUGGUUCUGUGACCACAAGUGCUGAUUGAUGUGACGUGAUCCCAGCCUUGUCAGAGAAUCACCACUGGGCUGCUUAUUGGAAACCAGAUGCAGCGAGGAAAAUAGGAUUUAACUCCUUCCCUGCCUCCCAGAAGAGGUGGCCGGGCCCACGGUGAGUCAGGCCACGUAAUGCUGCCCUCCUCACCCCGUCUUUGAUGCAUGGUCCACCCAGACCCCGGAGACUGUCAUCUGCUGUCAGAGUGUCUGAUGCUGCCCUGGGCCAAGGUAGGGUGGCAGCAGGAUAAGGUGGGUGGGUUCUGGGGGCUCAGGGAGAGGUGGGCAAGGGAAAGUGGGUUUUAGGUGGCUUGGGGUACUGGAGUUGCCAGAUCUGGAUUGCAGUUCUGGCUCCAUUGGUAAACACUCACCUGCUUCCUCGAGGAGCUUUCCUCUUUGGACCUCAGUUUCAUACCUCUCCAGCGAGAAGGUUGAACCAGAAUCUUUCCUGAGGUUCCUGCCAACUCUGACAUUGGGUUUCUCUGGCCAUUCGUGGGGCUGUUUAUUAGAAGUGCAGGACAAGGAAAACUCGACCCAGGUUAUAAGAACAGAGGGAUCUUGGCGACCCAUUUGAGAGCAACUGGGAUCCUUUUUUCCUGAAGAGAUGCGGUCUGCCUGAAUAGGGUCAGUGGGUAGAGACCAUUUUUGAGGGCACCCUAGAUGGGGGAUAAAGGAGCUGGAGGUUGCGUGGAGGUGGUGGGGCCACCUGGUCCGUGGGGAUCCAGACACCAGAGGGCGUGAACUUAGUGCCCCCCAAGGGGCCUGUCUGGACUUGGCCAUGGGGGAAGCUGCUGGGGGCACUUGCCAUGCAGCAGAGGGUGGCUUGAUAUAUUGUUCUCUAGGAUCUGCCCUUUGUUACUCUAAACUAUGGAGAGAAAAUGGGGCCAUGGAGUUGGGGAGGGCAGGUCUGUACAUCUGUUCCAGGGUUUGUGCUCCUUUGUCAGGAUGUUUUUCUUUAUACUUAGCUUCCUUUUCUCAUGCAGUUGUUCAAGCCCUUCUAGUUAAAAAGAAAGAAAAAAAAAAAAAAAGAAAAAAAUACCUUAGAGCCAGCAUUUCCAUUUUGGUUUUUUAGUCUUUAGUCACUCUUAAUAAAAUAGCAAAAUUAAAACACACUUUUGGGAAAGCCUGGGGUCCCAAGGCAGUUGUGCUACAGCCAGGCAAGGCCAGGUUGGGGGCUCCUCCAUCAUGGUAGCCUCGGUUCCAAAUAACCACCCCUUCUCCAAGGCCAUGUGGCUAGGAGCCCCUGGGCCAAGGGGCUACAUCAUGUCUUGAUAGAGCACAGCUUUUUAAAAGUGGCUGCAUUUCUCCAAGCACUAUUUGCGUGUGGCUUUGCCAGACUUUUAUCUGAGAUUUGUAAUAACCUGUGAGCCCCCAACCACCCCACAGCUCUUCCCCGAUACGGUAUAGUGAACAGUGAUUGGGGCUAGGAUGCAGGCAAGAGAGGCAUUGAUUAGUAACAAUCUUACCACACUUUACUGUGUGAUGUUUUACAGUUCUUUUCACAUUUGCUAGCUCAUUUGCUUCUCAUACCACCCUGAGAGGGUAGGUGGUAUUGUCCCAUAGUGGUUGAAGCUGAACCGGAAAGAGUCUUGCCAAGAUCUGACUGCUGGUGCCUAUUUUGGGUCUCUCACCCAGGCACCCUGACUCCAGUUGUCAUUUCCUUGGGCUCUGGUGGCACCUGCCACUGACCUGUGGGACACGAGUAGGGAGAGUGGGGUCUUGGACGGUUCACUUGAUCCCUGUGUGCUUGGAUCCCUCCUCCAUACAUUGAAGGAGGUCAGCAACCUCAGGAUGUCCUGGUUCUUGUGUUCUGUGGUUCUUUAGACUUCUUGGGGUGCCUGUCAGACUGGCUUGUACUUUUUGGCUGGGAAGCCAGCCACACAGCAUGUGUUCCUGGAGAGGUUUCCUACACAUGGAAGCUUCUGGACUAUGGCAUGAGGUGUGGUGAAAAAGUAAUCCCUUGAAAAUGCGAUGCUUCAAACCAUUCCGACACAUCUGUGCGGCACUUGCUGCCUGUGCUUUUAGGAGUGUUUCUUCACUUAGAGGCGAGGCCUUGUGGUGCACUCAUUGAGACUUUCCAACAGAUUUGUAAGGGAUGCCCUGAGCUUUGCCCGGUGUGCAUGUCGUGCGUGCAUUACCUGUUUGCUGGCUAAUGUACAGUACCUGCUGGAAGGAUUGGCUUGUGUACAAUGUAAGGUAAGAUACUGGAAACAUUGGCAUCAGCUCUGAAUGUUUGCUUCACGAUUGGCUUGAAAAAGUCUGCCUUUCCCAUGGAGAGGAAGGUGGGUAAAAGAGUUCUUGGGUGUAAGUUUUAUCUGAAUACUGAUGUAAGGGGCACUGAGGGAGAGCAUUGGGCGGGCCUUCUUGGCCGUGUAGCCCUGUGCAUGACCUCCAUGUGAAUAGACCCAGAACUUUUAGAAAGAGAAAAGAAAAGAACUGUUUACCUUUAUUUAAAACAGAUUUAGCCACGGUGCUUUUGGCUUUGUUUGAAGGCAUUCCUUAAAGAAGGAUUGGUACUGGACAAGGGGCCAGCCUAUGGGGGAGCAGAAAAGAAAAUGGAUUGAAUUUGCAGGAGGGCGGUUUAGGCUGGACGUCAGUGAGAACUGUAGCAUUGGUUUUGCUGAAGGUUGCCAAGGAAAGAUGAAGCCUGUGUAUCUGAGAAGGGGGGCCCUGAAUGUCCUAGAAAGGGCCCUUCCAGUCCUGGGCCUGUAGGACUUGAGGUUUGGGUGCCAGGAUCUGGGGUGAGCUCUGUGUCUCUACUCUCCGUCUGUCCUUUCUGCCUUUGAGGAAGGCCUGAGCCAGGGGGGCCACAGGGGCAUCGUAUCUGGAGCUGUAAUCUCGUUUACCCUGGCAGAGAGAACUUUUUGGAAGUGACCCUAUAGAAACUGAGUUGUUGGCAAAUAAAAAGGAGGAGAAAGGUAUGUUGCCUCUUAUCCCUUCCAGGAGAGGGCCCAGAGCUUGUCAGAUCCUGUAUUUGUGCUGCCUCCCAUUCCCCCAGGACAGUUCCCCUGGCCCCAGGUUGCUUUGCUGGACAUUGGAGACUGAAGUGAGUGUGUGUGUGGGCGCUGAGGUGGGAGGUUGUGGAAGCGGCAGGGCCAGGCCUGGUUUGCUGGGAACAAGGCAGGAGAGCGGAGAGGAAUAAAUAUCUCAGGGUAGGCCCACAGCUCUGGGAGCUGCGGGUAUUACCUGCUCUGCCAAAGGCACACAUGUGUGUUCAGACAGGCGUGCUAUUUAGAGGCAAGCCGAAGUCAGGAAUAAAUCAGUUACUGGCUAAAUGUGAAUUCCAUCAAAUAUGGAAAAUUAUAUAUCCUUUUGUGUUCUUACUACCUAUAGAGUCAGCAUCGAAAAGCCUGAUAGGCUGGGGGCUUUAGGUGGGCCCUGUCUCUAAGCUCAUGCUUAUUUUAAAUUUACUUUUUGCCUCCUGUCUGUGGGAUUGCCCACUCUCCUCCUCCCUUAGGCACAUGUGAAUAUCUGUCCUUGCAUUUUUGUUAUUUAUUUCCUGGGGCCACAGUUCUUCCUGUGUCUCCGACAUCAUUGAAUCUAUUACUUUUAUUUGAAAUGUAAACAAGCCAUAAGCUCACUCCAGACAUGAACAUCUCUGAAGCGGAGGCCCUAGCGGCUGCCCACAGAAGCCCCCUUCCCCAGGGUCCUGUGAGUCAGCCAGACCCCUAGGAGAUGAGUUCACGGGCGUCCUUGCUGGGUUCCACUUGGCCCCAUGUCAUGUCUUCUCUUUGGGGUGGGAGUACUCAGGUAUGCAUCCCCCAUACCCUCUUAGCUGUUACUUCCUUUCAGCUUGAACCCUGAAUUGUGGCCUUGAGAGUCUGAGGCCACGUGUCACCCUACUAGGUGAGGAGGGGGUGGGGCAGAGAAAGAAAGGGACAGACGGAGAAGAAGGAAACAUAGACUCCUGGCUACUGGCCUCUCUCCAAGGCAGGUGAACUCUGUGUUCGAAAAGGAACUCACUUAAUCUUCUGGCCCUAAUGGAAGUUACUUGUAUUUUUCUCUCCCACUCUCUUUUCCCUGCUCUCUCCCUCACCCCCCCUCCCCCAGCCUCCAAAGAAUUUAAUCUGCUGGACAACAAACAAUACUGUUAUAAAACUUUGAAAACAAGAGGGCGAGGCCUCCCUGACAAGGAGAAGGGCAUGCCGGGUAACAGCCCCAGGGAGCGCGCCAGGCCCGGGAUGGAGCCAGGCAAGAGCCCAGUUGGCUGGGUACCUGGCGCCUGCCGCUGCCCAGCCUACCGGGAGUGUCGUCCCCAGUCCAGAGGGGAAGGAACCGAAACAAAAGGGGAAGCAGAGACACGCUCGAAAAAGGGAAGUCGUGUGUGUUCCCCUCUCUCUGAUCUGAUGAGAAUGCACUAGACUGUGAAACUUCCUCCUCCCCCUCCUCCUCCCUCCUCUUCCCUCCCUCCCUCCCUCCUCCUCCCCCUCCUCCCCCUCCUCCCUCCUCCUCCUGCUACUCACUGUUCCUGGUCUCAAGACUGGCAAGCAGAGGUCCUGAUAACAGGCUGGAAUAGCGAUGCAGGCUGUGCAGCCACCAACUAGGCCAGCUAAAGAGGAAGCGGGGAGAGAAGCAUGCUCAGAGUGGGCUUUGGACUCUGGACCUACCCUCUGGCCCAACCUCCCUCCUCCCCAGCCAGGGAAGUGGAACAUCGUCACGGGGUGUGCCCCAGCCCAUGUGCUCCGCCAGGGCGGAGUGGAGGCUGUGCUGCAGAGGCUGGGGCAUACCUCUGGAGGGGCUCCUGGGAACAGGAACAUGCUUCUCCCAGCAAGCAGGGAUGCAGUCCUGUGGAGUGUGGCAAGAGGGCCUAGACCGCCUGGUAGGAUACCGUAUCUGCUAGUUAUUUCCUGGCAGCUGAAGGAAGGGGUGGCCCAACUCGGCCGGAGAUGGGGUGGGGAAGCUGGGCUCGGCACCUUCUCUCCUGCCAUCCCAGAGUUAGAUUUCCCCUGGGACUGAAGCUUCCCUUCUGAGUCCAUCUUCACUGAGUCAAGUAGAUGGUUUGGGGGUGGUGAGGGAGCAGCAUUGGUGGUUUUCUCUAGGAUCUGUGUUGGUUUGGACCCAUAACUUUGCAGAGGACAGUGUGUCUGUGUAAUAAACCAUAUGCGUGCUCGCAUUUCCUUUUGUGGCCCUAGCUUCCUGGAGAGGAGAUUGGGGCCCUGCCCAUCUUCCUCUGCCAGGGCUGGGCCACUCUACCAGGAGCACCUGGAGGUACCCAUGCUCCAGUCUUCACAUCAGCCCUCCUUCUCUUAGCUCCCACUGUCUCUUGCUGCCCCCACACCCCAUCUCAUCCAGGGGGCAAGAUGGCCACGGUGCAUCCUCCCAUCCAGCCAGUGAUCCUGACCCAGGGCUUCUGUGCCCUGUACAGGAAGGUUUUGAGACCCAGGAUUAUGCUGGUAGUGUAGAGGAAGAGACAGAGAAUAUAACUUUUAAGAAAGCAGCUGCUAAGCCACGUAGACCUGAGAGAAAGCAGAAGAGCUGAUGCUGGGCCCCUAUGAGCUUGGAGGCAGUUACUCCUUGCCAUGUUCCCUGAACGGGCAUUGGAGGGACUAAUAGGGCCAGGGCAUAUUAUUCCCACUUUGGGAUUUAGGGCUGGCCCAGUCACCGAGGCCUUCUGGGAAGUGCAGUGGUCCCUGGAUACCGAGCCCUCCGUUUCAGGGACAAAACUGCCAGAAAGGGAGAGGCAGAUGGAGGUUUUUGAGGGGCUUUGGGCUAGCACCAUGUCCCUUCCCCAACCCCCCCCCCCCCCCACGCCCCUUCAUUGUAUCACCCUUUCCUCUGAUUCAUUAACCACUCAAGACAAAAUGUUCAGGAUCUGGGCCUGGGCUAGAGCUGGGAGUAACAGGAAACUGGCCUGGGCCUUUCAGUUCAUACAUACAAUGGUCUCGAGGGCAGGACCUUCCCCGUCUUUCCCAGGGCCUUCCCCAGGACCCCCGCUCAUCAAGCUCUCCCUCACUGCCAGGAGCCCUAAAACCAGCGUUGUCAGUGACAAGAAGAUGGAUGAUCGGGGCUCAGCUUCCGGCACCCCACCCCCACUCUGGCUCGAACUUGCGUCAGUCAUGUAAGUAGCUGUGACUCAGCACCCAGCACUGCUGGGUCAGGAGGGAGAAGCCGCUGCCUUGGCAGGAACUUUCUCUGCUGGAUUUAAAUACAUUGUGGUAGUACAGAACCCAGCAAGCAGGAUUAGGUUCCUGGGGGGCACAUGUCUGUCUGUUCAGUGGGUUUGCUUGUGGAUUUCAUCAGCAAGCUUCCUCUCCUUCCCAUUUUCCUUCUGUGCUCUUUUCUGGGUGUCAACCACGUGCAUCUUUGCAGUCUCUGGAACGUAAUUUAACCGACAGUGCUUGGGAAUCGUAUUUAACCCUCAGAUGUGUUUUGUUUGGUCUGCACAGGAUUGUUUAUGGAUCUGGUUUUGCAUGCCUUUAGGCCAAAUGCAGCCCCUCCAGGUCACAGAGUUUCUGCUGCAUGCAGUGGCUUCUUUUAAGUUUCCUGCCCAAGCCCUCUAAGCAAUUGAAUAUGCUUUGGCCAGCCUUCCCCAGCCUACUGUCUUUACAGAUGAAGACACUAAGGCCCAGACAGGGGGAUUGUCAGGCCCGAAUCUGAGCGUUUGGGCUUGCAGGAAUUACAGCCACGGUGUUCUGAUUCACUGUAUGGUGACCUCUCCUUACCCUCGGGUCCCGCCCAGGCUCAGGAGUGUCCUGGGCAUGAAAGGCCAGAAAAGCCUCCAAAUAGAAUGGACUGAGUGGACUGGGGCUCCUAGGCCCUCCUUCCCUGCAUGUGGCACUCCGCAGAGCUGCCAUAACCACUCCUCUGGGUAAGUGGUUUUCCUCCCCUGGUAUCCCUGCCAAGCCCUUCUCCAUCGGCCAGUUUCCUUGGUGCCACUGGGCCAAGAUGGGAGAAUCCCAUCACCCUUAAUCCAUGGCCAAAUCCUCAGCAGUCUGGGGCUUUCAUGAGCUGCCUUCUUAGGGAUCUAGGUGGAUCCCAGGCUUGGAGCUAGUAGAGCAAGCCCCCUCUAGACCCAUCAUAAACCACCCUGUUAUGUCCAAUCAGGGAAAAAAUUCCAGCUUGUUUCAGGUUAGAGUCACUGCUCAGCUGACAGAGAGAGAGAACCCUGGUGGUUCUGUUGGGAAGACUGAGACCUGAACAGACCCUUUUUCCCAGUGGGAUUGAAAAGAUGAAAGAUUUGGGGACAAGAUGACUCCUUCCCCCUUUCUUCUUUUAGGGUGUAUAAAGUGAUGCAUUGUUAAUGAUUUCUUAUCUCUGCUUCCUGAGAAUUAACAGUAUUUUAAAAUUCAUGAGUCGGGGAGCCCAGACUGAUUUGUAUCUGUUGGUUUCCUCUGUGACAGUUGCUUCCCUGCUAUGUAGAGCCACCCUGCCCAACUUUGGGAUGGUGCUUAGUGGUGCUUAGAGAUGUUAAUUCAGUCAUCACACUAAUAGCCAAAAGAGGAACAGAACUUGAGUCAAGCAGAAGCCAAGCCUAGACCCAGCAGAGGCAUUCCUGGGGCAGGGAUUCUUGAGCUGAGACCUGAAGGAUGAUUAGGAGUUACCUGGGGGGGGGGCUGGAAGGGGCCUGUGGAGGGGUUGGGGAUGGGAGGUAUGGGAUUGUUGAGAGUAUUCCAGCAGGAGGGGACAAACGUGCAGGGUCUUGUGGGCAGAAGCAUGAUUUCUAAAAGGACAUUUGAGUGACACACCACACUGGGAAGGGGUUUUGUGGCUGUUGGCAAUCAAAAGUUGCAAAGGAAGAGUUUGGCUGAAGUAAAAAGCAGAAAAGUGGAGAAUUACUAAAUGCAGAUCUCAUCUAACCCCCUCAUUUAAAAUGAUUUGGACCCCAAGGUAACAGUUGCCAUUUAAUAUUCACUCCUGACCUUGCAGCCCUCACAGUUACCUGGUCAGCAAGUCCAGCUGCUGACUGCAGGCAGAUUUGGCUCUCAGCUCUCCCCUCUGUGACUGAGACCUUGGAGAGUCCCCGGGCAGCAGAGCCUGGUGGUACUGUGUCAGAACCCAUCUGAAAUCCAUUCCAGGCAGGGCAGGGCAGGUUCACCUUCAGCGUCUUCCCCACGGCCACAGCCAUCCUGUGGCCAACAAGGCGCCAAAGAUGCAGGGAAGCAAAGCAGUCUACCCCAAACCAUUCAGCCCCUUGCAGAAACAAAGCCGUGUUCCCUUCUCUACCCAAGUGUAACGUAUGGGCAGCAUUAUCCAUUUCCAUGCAGAAGCACUGCCUAGGAAUUUCCCCCCUCAGUCUUGCUGACAGUUAAGUUCAAGAACAAAAUGAGAUGAUAGUCAAGCUGUGGAGCAGGCAGCAGUGGGCAGAAGGGAAGGAGCCCAGACUUCUGGAAUCAGCCCUGGGAUCUACACCAUUGAUAGUCAUGUGACUGUGCCAUGUGACAAGCUAUUCAACCUCAUGAAGGAUCCAUUUCUUCUGCAUAAAUGGAAGAAAUACCUGCUUAAACAGCAGAACUCUUGGUGUUCAAAUUUUAUUUCCUUCCCUUUCCUAUAGCAACAGAUAGUGUUAAUUUCCAGAAGCCACCAAAAAUAUAUAUAUAUAUAUAUAAAGUAGGUCUAGAUCUAAGGCCUAAAGAAUUGGCAGGGAACCUAGAUACAGAUUCUACUGUGUCUGUUCUUUCUCUUGGUUAUGGUAUCAGAGGAAAUACAUAUUUUCUUAGCGUCAAACAACCAAAAAUGAUGGUGCCAAUAGGAAAGGAAAAAUCUAAUUUGAAAUAUAGUUUGCAAAUCUUAUUUUCAGCCACAUUUUGAAAAUAAAACUCAAUUCUUGUGUCAGAGGAUUGUCUACUUAAUGCAUUUUUAUCUGUUAGAUUUUAGAGGCAUACAGAGGGUCAAAUAAGACCAGAUUGCCAGUCAGUGGGGUUGUGUUGUAAUGUUCUGACAAGCAGGAGAUGGGAAGGGGGGCCCAUGUUCUUUCUGGAAUGGGACACAUGGAAGACUUGCCCUGGUCUGGAUGAAACACACCCUUCUGCAGUGGUAGAGCCUUAGAGGCAGAUAGGGUGGGUGCUUCCUGAAGUGUCAUGAGGUAUCUGAAAACAUUUGCAUACUGUGAAAUACUGUACAAAUGCAGGGUGGUACUGGUGUAAAUAUUGAUGUGUUUUAAUGAUGCUUUGGCUAUUUUAUUUCAUCAUACAUAUAUAGUAAUUUGUAGUAACUGUUUUUGAAAUUAAACAACCUGGAAUUGAUGAGUUUUGUAUCGCUGUCAUCUGUUUGACGCAUCAGCCAUGACUUUCAUGUUGCUUUGAGCAUCACUGUGUAAAUCUCCUUUAUACCCUCCUAACGGAUCAUUUUAUUAUGUCCUGUCACAAGUAGAACUGCAAGAAGGCAUUUCUUCUCGGGGCAGAGGCUGGGUCUCCACUGGCCUCUCCUUUCUUCGGUGAGAUCCUCUUCUUCUGGAAGCUGGUUUCACAUGGUGGCUUAGAUUUUUCCAUCUUUGUAUCUAGCACCAUUUGAAAUCAGUGUUUUAGGAGUAAGAAUUGCAGCACAGCAGAGGGCGGACUACAAAGGAGCCGCGGCUCACGGGACUGGCUCCCCUCCUCUUGCCACCUGAGCUGAUUCGAGAAGUCCAGGGGAGAACUUAAAAUCAGAAUAACCUCCUGAGGAUGUUGGGUUUUUGGCAGGAUGACAGUGGGGAGGGGUUGUGUUUAAAAGCAGGAGCAGAGGUUCUGAUGCUCUGAUCACUGGCAUGUUGGGGAGGGGUGGGGCAUGGGGAUUG